UGUGAAUGGGGAAACAUAUAUGAUUUGAAACCAUAAUGUCACAUUUUGUAUCAAUCGGACAGUGGAGUAAGAAAUUGCCGCAAAUUAAAAUGUAUACAAAUGUAGAAAUGAUGGGUCUUUUUACUCUCACGGAAGAAUAUCAGUCAGCUCUUUUGGGUGUACUUCGUUUUUUCCAGCACUUUCCAUGAAAAACCCGCCUACAAAGUGACGUCACGUGCGUGUCAAACGCAGUCCUCACCGCACAGAUGUCGCGCCCAUUGGUCGCGUCGUAGAGCAGGCUACUCGGAUUACCACAAAUGAGCCACAAACUGUUCAAACACAGACAAAUACUAUGGUAACCAAAUUCUAACAUACAUGAAUACAGGGAGCUACGCCUUUUCUAUAAUUAAAAGACAACUCAUUGCUGAAGGUGACAGACAAAUAAUGUAAAGGAAGCAGUGGUGUGGUGGAGGCUAUACGCAGGCCAGUCAGUUAAGAACAAAUUCUUAUUUACAAUGACGGCCAAACCCGGACCAAUUGUGCGCCGCCCUAUGUGACUCCCAGUCACGGCCGGAUGUGAUACAGCCUGGAAUCAAACCAGGAACUGUAGGGACGCCUCUUGCACUGAGAUGCAGUGCCUUACACCACUGUGCCACUCAGGAGCCCAAGUGUCCUGGAGGGCAGGCAGUGUGUCCCCGGUAUUGCAUUGGGCAGAUCACACCACACUCCGGAGAGCCCUGUGGUUGUGGGCGGAGCAGUUGCCGUACCAGGCGGUGAUACAGCCCGACAGGAUGCGCUCAAUUGUGCAUCUGUAAAAGUUUGAGGGUUUUCGGUGACAAGCCCAACCACAAUGUUAUUGUGUUGUAAUUCUAAUCACAGACAGAUUCGAGUUCUGUUUGAUUUGAAUAAAUACUUUAGGAUCAGAAGGAGCGUGCUGCAAAGCAACAGUCACCUGCUCCUGCCACUAGCCUUGCCCCUGACCAAUGGAGAGAGAGGGACAGCAGAGGCAACAUAAUUCACAAAAUACCUGGACAAAAAAGGUUUAAGAAGACCUCAAGACAAGGUAAGUGUUAUGUACCUAUUUAGUUGUGUGUUUGUUUACGCGUGCAAAGUGUAACCAUUUUCUCUAAUUACAGUGCCUUGCGAAAGUUUUCGGCCCCCUUGAACUUUGCAACCUUUUGCCACAUUUCAGGCUUCAAACAUAAAGAUAUAAAACUGUCUUUUUUUGUGAAGAAUCAACAACAAGUGGGACACAUCAAAAACUGAAAAAUUGGGCGUGCAAAAUUAUUCAGCCCCCUUAAGUUAAUACUUUGUAGCGCCACCUUUUGCUGCGAUUACAGCUGU